CCAUGGAAGUUGGGAGUACCUGAAGUCCCCGACGCAAUCGGAGCCUAGGGUAAAACCAAUAGACUGGGGCU
rnacentral:rRNA from 1 species